rnacentral:rRNA from 1 species
AGAGUUUGAUCCUGGCUCAGGACGAACGCUGGCGGCGUGCUUAACACAUGCAAGUCGAGCGGUAAGGCUCCUUCGGGAGUACACGAGCGGCGAACGGGUGAGUAACACGUGAGCAACCUGCCCCUGGCUCUGGGACAACCACUGGAAACGGUGGCUAAUACCGGAUACGACCCGCCAUCGCAUGGUGUGUGGGUGGAAAGUUUUUCGGCUGGGGAUGGGCUCGCGGCCUAUCAGCUUGUUGGUGGGGUGAUGGCCUACCAAGGCGACGACGGGUAGCCGGCCUGAGAGGGUGACCGGCCACACUGGGACUGAGACACGGCCCAGACUCCUACGGGAGGCAGCAGUGGGGAAUAUUGGACAAUGGGCGAAAGCCUGAUCCAGCAACGCCGCGUGAGGGAUGACGGCCUUCGGGUUGUAAACCGCUUUCGCCUGUGACGAAGCGUGAGUGACGGUAAUGGGUAAAGAAGCACCGGCUAACUACGUGCCAGCAGCCGCGGUGAUACGUAGGGUGCGAGCGUUGUCCGGAAUUAUUGGGCGUAAAGAGCUCGUAGGCGGUUUGUCGCGUCUGCUGUGAAAGGCCGGAGCUUAACUCCGUGUAUUGCAGUGGGUACGGGCAGACUAGAGUGCGGUAGGGGAGAUUGGAAUUCCUGGUGUAGCGGUGGAAUGCGCAGAUAUCAGGAGGAACACCGGUGGCGAAGGCGGUUCUCUGGGCCUUUCCUGACGCUGAGGAGCGAAAGCGUGGGGAGCGAACAGGCUUAGAUACCCUGGUAGUCCACGCUGUAAACGGUGGGUACUAGGUGUGGGGUCCAUUCCACGGGUUCCGCGCCGUAGCUAACGCUUUAAGUACCCCGCCUGGGGAGUACGG